AUUCUAAAAAAGCCGAAUUCCCAUUCGUUCGGGAAGCGGGGGAUCCGUCUUGGGUGAAUUGAUCUCGCAACAGAGGGGUCAUAGGUUUACCUUCAACCGAACCCUUAAGCUAACCUCGCAGGCAUUGGAAGGAGCUUUC
rnacentral:sRNA from 2 species